AAUGUUAAUGGUUGUCAGGGUGCUGCAAACAGAAAGGUGGCUGCCACUAACAUGAAUAGAGCAAGUAGUCGUUCUCACAGUGUAUUCACCUGUGUUAUUGAGAGUACUUGGGAAUCCCAAGGUGUAACACAUAAUCGCUUUGCUCGACUAAAUCUUAUAGAUUUAGCUGGCUCUGAAAGGCAAAAGAGUUCUGGUGCAGAAGGUGACCGUCUUAAAGAAGCCACAAAUAUCAAUAAGUCACUGUCAACUUUAGGUCUGUUUUUCCUUCUUUCAAUUAAAACUAUAUAGCAGUAGCUCACAGUAAAGAAUUUAUCUCUUGAUUGUCCUUACUUAAUAUAAUGCUUCAGACUCGCGAUAGUGAACCUCGUGAGCAUAUCCAAUGGAAAAUCCCAUCACGUGCCAUAUCGAGAUUCAAAAUUAACCUUUUUGCUUCAGGUAUUUUCUAACACAAUUUUUUGCUCAUUAAUCUGCCAAGGAAUCCUAUUUGCAAGUCUGACUUGAGCUGUACUUUGGAAUUCAACUCACUUGGAGGGAAUGCAAAAACCACUAUAAUUGCUAAUAUUAGUCCAUCCAACUGCUGCUCACUGGAGACUCUUAGCACCCUGAAGUUUCAGCAUGCUAAAUUUAUAAAGAACAAUGCCGUUAUAAACGAAGAUGCUUCUGGUGAUGUCCUUGCCAUGAGAAUGCAAAUUCAGCAAUUGAAGGGAUUUUUGGGUCAAAUACCUAGCGACAAACUCCUAUGUUCCUUCACUGAAACGCAGUCAAGAGAUAGAGUGCAGUGUGUGCUUAGAACGUGUGCUCGCUAAGACAACAGCCUCUGAACGGAAGUUUGGUUUGCUAUCAGAAUCUGACCACCCAUUUUGUAUAACUUGCAUCAGAUUUUGGCGUAACAGCUCACCAACCUCUGGAAUGGAUGUUAAUUCCACAUUGAGGGCUUGUCCUAUAUGUCGUAACAGCUACAGUGGAAUCACAGAAAUUGCAGCCUCUUUCU